AUGACAGAAGAGAGUGAGCACACAAAGUAAUUUCUUGCAUGAAGGAUGCUGGAAGCUCUGCGUGCUCACCCUCUAUCUGUCAU
rnacentral:pre_miRNA from 1 species